GGACCCAUCGUGGCCAUCCUGGGUCGGACUCCCCUGCUCCCUAUAUAGGAUGCCAGGUCCUUCAACCAUCUCGACCAAUCUCGCCAUCGCUGAGCUCGCACUGAGGGUGAACAGGGCUAUCGCUGGCAAACUCCGUCGGUCCCGUCGAUCUGGCCCCGAUAACUGGUCGGGGAGGAUCCGCGGGGCAUAUCAAAGGUGUCGGGUGACGGGCGUGGGAUUGUGCUGGUCUGAGUCGACGACAAUUGCUCGCCGGAGCCACCUUCGGGUGCGAUUCCGCAGCACAACGUGGGCUGGAAUUACCGCAACAGGAUUCACGGUGAGUUCUACCUCCCACGGUACUUAGCGUAUUAUAAAUUACCUAGUGGCUCGGUGUUUGGGUGCGGGUGACGCGCGCGCCGCCGUCUUCGGACCGAGGUAGGAGAACGGCUCCUGGCCGUUCAAUCUGGAUAUGCAGGCAAGAUUAGAGGACGUGUACCCUUACGAUACAUCAAUUUCGAACCAUUGAUUUUCCAACGGGCAGCUCGAUUAGAUCGUAACUUACCCCUCCUGCGAUAUCAUCCGGACCGCAGAUCGUCGAUCCAACGGCUGGUGUUGCGUACCGUUUCAUAACAACUACAAUGUAAUCUCAGUCGUUGGUUUAGCGAUGGACAGCUCAGAACCCAUGAUACCCCUUCGGCCUGGCAAAAUCGCUAAAGAGAUCCUCGACUUUAUAAUAACUAACCCGCGCUCCUGUCCCAUGCUCCUGUCCCAUUCAAGAAUCAUUACAGAAAGGUCCUUUUCUUUGUAAAAACAACCUUGAGCUUCUCAGGAAUUAUGGCCGCAGCCUAGAGGAUAAAUAAAAUAAGUAUAUUAAUAUAGAAAAUGGUUUUUAGUAUAAAAAUAAUUCUAGAAACUUAUUUAAUUCAUAAGUAAUUCAUUAUAACUCCUUUUUAACCCAUUCCAGUUGCAAUAAAUUCAUAUUAAUAUUUUUUAUCAUCAGGUAACCUUAUUUUGUUAUGAAACCUAGGUUAAAUUUAUGCACUUAGUUUUUUAUAUCCAACACUUAAACCUUCGGAAAAUCAUAACUUUAUAAUUGUAACUCCGAAUUUAGUGGUUCUCAAACCUAGGAUCCAGUUACGAUGCGUAGAACAUUAUUAUGCAGUUUGUUCUUGUGUUUGGCGUGAUGUUAAUUUUGCCUAUACCAUGUUUGCUUGUAUUGCUACGAAUAGCAACGAGGUUACAAGUCACUUGAAUGCCAAGUUGUUACCUGGGAAUCUCAAGUCUCAGACAAGUUGUGCCCUUGAUCACUUUUUUGACCUAAUAAUGUUUCUGUUAAUCACCGUGACAUGCUCAGGUUAAUUUGAUGGGACCCAAUAGGUUUCCCUAGCAUUGUUUAUCCCCUUCAUUGCAAACCAAAGCACUAUUGGGAAGUUUUGCUAUUGCUCUACCUAGUUUUGGGAAAUUAAUGUUAUAUUAUGAUCAUGUUCCAGUUAUACUGUUGUUUUAAUUAUUGUUCAUGACAAGAUCAUUAUGUUAAUUGGAACAUGGAACGACCACCCGGGAAAACAGUGCUACCACAAGGGUGGUAUGGAACGCCCUUGGCUGACUAAUUAGGAAAGCUAAUAGAAGACUACCUUACCCGAAAGGGGCAAGGGCGGUAGAGGAGCUAUGAAUAGGGAGGUUCUCGGGUCGAUCAUACAAUGAUGGAUUUUUGGACGAGAGAUUCCUAUAUUGCCCUUCUCAGAAACCGUAGUGGGUUUUCGAAAGCUAGUGGAACUUUGUAAAGGUUUCGUAGUGGUGCCAUGCCUCGUCUCCUCGGUAGAGAUGAAUGGGAAGUCGCGAUCCCUUGGGAAAUGGGUAACACGACUUAUGGGUAAAGAUGUGCAACCUCUACAGAGUGUAAAACUGGUAUAUCAGCUGUGCUCACGAUCAUGAAACUCUCGGACCCUCACAUGAGAAAUUUAUGGAACUAAACUUAAUUUGUCAUAUGCAUUGCAUUGUGGGUGUUGUUAUCAAUUUGAUCUCUUAUUUAUUUGGGUUGGUAUCUACUUACACUUAGUAAAUGCUAAUAAAAUUUUGACCAACUUUAAAAGCAAUGCUCAGCUUUAACCAUCUCCUUUGGUAAGCCUUACACUUCACAUGAGCUCCCACCUUUGGUGAGUUCAUGCACAUUAUUUCCCACAACUUAUUGAGCGAUGAACGUAUGUGAACUCACUCUUGUUGUACUCACAUCCCCCUAGGUCAAGGAUAGGUACCACAAGAUGAGACACAUGAAGGAUGUUGUGAUGAGUUCGUGAGUGGUCUAGGCCGUCGUCUCCUAGUCAACUUUGGGUUGCUGGAUCGUUGUCUUUGUAUGAUGUAAUUAUUUAACUAUUUUGUAC
rnacentral:lncRNA from 1 species